UGCAGUCGAGCGGGGGAGGUAGCUUGCUACCGGACCUAACGGCGACGGGUGAGUAAUGCUUAGGAAUCUGCCUAUUAGUGGGGGACAACUUCUCGAAGGGGAUGCUAAUACCGCAUACGUCCUACGGGAGAAAGCAGGGGAUCUUCGGACCUUGCGCUAGUAGAUGAACCUAAGCCGGAUUAACUAGUUGGUGGGGUAAAGGCCUACCCAGGCGACGAUCUGUACCGGGUCUGAGAGGAUGAUCCGCCACACUGGGACUGAGACACGGCCCAGACUCCUACGGGAGGCAGCAGUGGGGAAUAUUGGACAAUGGGGGGAACCCUGAUCCAGCCAUGCCGCGUGUGUGAAGAAGGCCUUAUGGUUGUAAAGCACUUUAAGCGAGGAGGAGGCUACUUUAGUUAAUACCUAGAGAUAGUGGACGUUACUCGCAGAAUAAGCACCGGCUAACUCUGUGCCAGCAGCCGCGGUAAUACAGAGGGUGCGAGCGUUAAUCGGAUUUACUGGGCGUAAAGCGUGCGUAGGCGGCUUAUUAAGUCGGAUGUGAAAUCCCCGAGCUUAACUUGUGAAUUGCAUUCUAUACUGUGGAGCUAUAGUAUGUUAGAGGAUGGUAGAAUUCCACGUGUAGCGCUGAAAUGCGUAUAGAUCUGUAGGAAUACCGAUGUCGAAGGCAGGCAUCUGUGCUAAUACUGACGCUGACGUACG
rnacentral:rRNA from 1 species